rnacentral:rRNA from 1 species
UACAGAGGUCUCAAGCGUUGUUCGGAUUCAUUGGGCGUAAAGGGUGCGUAGGUGGCGCCAUAAGUCAGGUGUGAAAUCUCGGAGCUCAACUCCGAAACUGCACUUGAUACUGUGGUGCUGGAGUACUGGAGAGGAGAUUGGAAUUUACGGUGUAGCAGUGAAAUGCGUAGAUAUCGUAAGGAAGACCAGUGGCGAAGGCGAAUCUCUGGACAGUUACUGACACUGAGGCACGAAGGCCAGGGGAGCAACGGG